UGGGGAAUUUUGGACAAUGGGGGCAACCCUGAUCCAGCCAUGCCGCGUGAGUGACGAAGGUCUUCGGAUUGUAAAGCUCUUUUGGCGGGGACGAUAAUGACGGUACCCGCAGAAUAAGCCCCGGCUAACUUCGUGCCAGCAGCCGCGGUAAUACGAAGGGGGCUAGCGUUGUUCGGAAUCACUGGGCGUAAAGCGCACGUAGGCGGAUGUGCCAGUCAGGGGUGAAAUCCCGGAGCUCAACUUCGGAACUGCCUCUGAUACAGCACGUCUUGAGUCCGAUAGAGGUGGGUGGAAUUCCUAGUGUAGAGGUGAAAUUCGUAGAUAUUAGGAAGAACACCGGUGGCGAAGGCGGCCCACUGGAUCGGUACUGACGCUGAGGUGCGAAAGCGUGGGGAGCAAACAGGAUUAGAUACCCCUGUAGUCCCUGAGCGGGCUGGCAAGGCGCAU
rnacentral:rRNA from 1 species